UUAAUAAUGGAUUUACGAUGCAAAAGGAACAUGUUAAGAGGGGCAUCUCUUAGUAUGCAUACGCUAUUGACUUGGUACAAAAUUUGUCCAACCAUUGUGUUCCACAAUUUUUAUCUCACGGAAAUGUCUGCAUUAGUUGAUUAAGAUAAUUGUAUCAGUCGAGAAACGCUAAAUGCAAGAAAGACUCUUCUCCUAGUGGUGUGGUAAUGUUUGUAGAGUUAGUAAUGCCAAUUGUCAUUGGCCUGAACUUAAGUCAAGCAAAUAAUCAAGAUGGCAGAUAUGAACAAGAAUGUCUUCUGACAUAAUCGACUGCACUGCGAUAUAAUCCCGGGUAUUAUGCAUAAGCUCUUAUUAGUGCUUUUACUUGCUGAAAAGAAAAACACCGGAAGCGUUUCCAUAACUUUCCCAAGGAAACUUUCCUUUAUCCUAUCUGCCAACUUUGAUUUUUUGUCUUAUAUUCUGAUAUAUGAAUAGUACAUAAUGAUAGGGAAAAGAAUCAUACUAUAUCCCUCAAAAGUAAGCAACCUAAGUUGAAUUCACUAUACUAACUAGAUUGAAGCUUUUGUGGUUGAUACUGUUAGAUGCUCUAUUUGUUGGAUUGAAAGAGUUCAAAGGAAGAAAGAUCCGUAAACCUUGGGGUAUUAUUAGUACGUAGUUUGCUGAUGUUAGUUGCUACAUUCAUUUCAUUUCAUUCACUAGCAGGAUAUGGUUAUUUUUCCAGUGGUGGUGAUGUAAAUGCUUAAAUAUUUUAAAGAGUUUCUAAAGGCACUUCUAGAGAAACAAAAUCAUCAGUGGUUUCUUGGACUUCUCCAAAGGCUGACAAUGCACCCUUGGAAGCUGUUCGCAUAUUGUUGUCCCACAUUGCCCUGAUUACGUUCAACAGAAGCUUCGCAGAGCUGAAACUGUCCAUUAACUUAAGAGGUUUGGAUCUUCAUGCUACAGCGGAAGCUGUGAUCUGUGAAUAUGAAUGGGGGUGACCUUCAGUCAUUGAUGAUGAUGGUAUUGUGUGGCACAACUUCCUUAAAAGGGCUCUCUAUCUGCUGCUGAUGCUCGGAAGAAUGUUAGAAGCUGGAGAUUUGAAACGGAUUGGCAAAGACUUGGUUAGUGAUCCUUCACAGACUUCCUACUUACGAUCAUAUGAGCAAGUGGUAUAAUGUGAAUUCUCACUCCUAUAUGCUGUGCUGAAAGGUUUUACAGCUUUGAGUAAUCGGUAAAUCCCUUCGGUGUUUGCUUGCUAAACUUUGCUGGGUCGAUGAAGAGUUUAGAGGUUCUUACUUAUGGAAGCUGCAGUCAGAGUUGGCUUGGAAUGGUCUAUCCACUGCGGUUGGAAGUCUCGAAAUCAAAGUUUUUGCGAGGUUGAGAUCUUAAUGCAGUUGAUUUUGCUGUUAGAAUGAUAGAGGUUAUUGCUUACUGUUGAGAGUUUGUUCCAUUACUUGAUGAAAGACUCACGGUAUCGAGCAUGUGGGAGGGUAUUGAAUGUACGACUACCAAUCAAAAAUUUUUUAAGUGUUUUCUGUAUUCUUUUGA